AACGAACGCUGGCGGCAUGCCUAACACAUGCAAGUCGAACGAGACCUUCGGGCCUAGUGGCGCACGGGUGCGUAACGCGUGGGAAUCUGCCCUUGGGUUCGGAAUAACAGUUGGAAACGACUGCUAAUACCGGAUGAUGACGUAAGUCCAAAGAUUUAUCGCCCAAGGAUGAGCCCGCGUAGGAUUAGCUAGUUGGUGAGGUAAAGGCUCACCAAGGCGACGAUCCUUAGCUGGUCUGAGAGGAUGAUCAGCCACACUGGGACUGAGACACGGCCCAGACUCCUACGGGAGGCAGCAGUGGGGAAUAUUGGACACUGGGCGAAAGCCUGAUCCAGCAAUGCCGCGUGAGUGAUGAAGGCCUUAGGGUUGUAAAGCUCUUUUACCCGGGAUGAUAAUGACGGUACCGGGAGAAUAAGCACCGGCUAACUCCGUG
rnacentral:rRNA from 1 species